GAUGAACGCUAGCUACAGGCUUAACACAUGCAAGUCGCGGGGCAGCAUGGGGGUUGCUUGCAACCCCUGAUGGCGACCGGCGCACGGGUGAGUAACGCGUAUCCAACCUGCCCUUCACCACGGGAUAACCCGGCGAAAGUCGGACUAAUACCGUAUGUUGUCCAUUGACGGCAUCCGAUUUGGACGAAAGGCUUGGGGGUGAAAGGAUGGGGAUGCGUCCGAUUAGCUUGACGGCGGGGUAACGGCCCACCGUGGCUACGAUCGGUAGGGGUUCUGAGAGGAAGGUCCCCCACACUGGAACUGAGACACGGUCCAGACUCCUACGGGAGGCAGCAGUGAGGAAUAUUGGUCAAUGGGCGUAAGCCUGAACCAGCCAAGUAGCGUGCAGGAUGACGGCCCUAUGGGUUGUAAACUGCUUUUAUGCGGGGAUAAAGUGGCCCACGUGUGGGCUUUUGCAGGUACCGCAUGAAUAAGGACCGGCUAAUUCCGUG
rnacentral:rRNA from 1 species